GCCUGUAGUCAGCCAGGGCUCAGCCAUCGUCUCUUGCCCCUGCAUCCUCUCCAGAACCCCACUCCUGGCUGUCUUCACACUGCCACAAUCUCCCUGCAGCAGAUUUUCUUCCUGGGAUUACAUUGGCAUACCCCUGGAUUGAGGCUAGUCACAUAGGUGAAUGCUGAAGCCAUUGGAUGGAGGUGUGGCACUGUAGGACCAGCAGUUGACUUGGAAGGGAGUCCGGGAAAGCAGUGACACUUCCUGUUUUCAUACAUCAGAUGUGAAGCAAAAGCAGGGAUUGUAAUGGGAUCCUUCUGUUGUACAGAUACAGGUACAUCUUCUCCACGAUGAGGAUGGAGGUGCCAUAGAUGAAGAGCGCCCAGACACUGGUGACACCUGGGAACUUCCAGUUAAAGUUGACCACAAACUCCCAGGCCGCCGUAAACAUCAC